rnacentral:rRNA from 1 species
GACGAACGCUGGCGGCGUGCUUAACACAUGCAAGUCGAGCGGUAAGGCCCUUUCGGGGGUACGACGAGCGGCGAACGGGUAGGAGUAACACGUGGGUGGACCUCGUCCUCAGCUCUGGGAGUAAGCCUCGGGAAACCGGGUACGUAAUACCGGAUAUGACUCCAUGACGCAUGUUGGUGGGGUGGAAAGCCUUGUGCGGCUGAGGAUGGGCCCGCGGCCUAUCAGCUUGUUGGUGGGGUGANGGCCUACCAAGGCGACGACGGGUAGCCGGCCUGAGAGGGCGACCGGCCACAC